rnacentral:rRNA from 1 species
AAACAUGCAAGUCGAAGGAGAAGCCCCUUCGGGGGUGGACACUGGCGAAAGGGCGAGUAAUGCAUUCGAACGUGCCCCGAGGUGGGGAAUAGCGGGGGGAAACCCCCGGUAAUGCCCCAUGUGCUCUACGGAGGAAAGCCCCGGCGCCUCGGGAGCGGCGAAUGUCCUAUCAGGUUGUUGGUGGGGUAAAGGCCCACCAAGCCGAAGACGGGUAGCGGGUGUGAGAGCAUGACCCGCCGCAUCGGAACUGAGACACUGUCCGGACUCCUACGGGAGGCUGCAGUAACGAAUCUUCCGCAAUGCACGAAAGUGUGACGGAGCAAUGCCGCGUGUGGGACGAAGCGGUUACGCCGUGUAAACCACUGUCAGGUUCCAGAAAGAACUGAUCAGAACCAGAGGAAGGGCCGGCUAAUCUCGUGCCAGCAGCCGCGGUAAGACGAGAGGCCCGAGCGUUGAGCGGAUUUCACUGGGCUUAAAGGGUGUGUAGACGGACUGGGUAGGUGUCUUGGGAAAUCCCACGGCUCAACCGUGGAACUGCAGGGCAAACCACCAGUCUUGAGGCAUGUAGGGGUCCCCGGAACGUUGCGUGGACCGGUGAAAUGCAUAGAUAUGCAACGGAACGCCGAUGGUGAAGACAGGGGGCUGGGCAUGUCCUGACGCUGAGACACGAAAGCGUGGGGAGCAAACGGGAUUAGAUACCCUGGUAGUCCACGCCGUAAACGAUGUGCACUGGGUUGGUGGGGCUCUGACGCCCUGCCGGCCGAAGAGAAAUUGUUAAGUGCACCGCCUGGGGAGUACGGUCGCAAGGCUAAAACUCAAAGGAAUUGACGGGGGCUCACACAAGCGGUGGAGCAUGUUGCUUAAUUCGAAGCAACGCGAAGAACCUUACCAGGGUUUGACAUGCACGGAUUAACGUUUGGAAACAUACGCCACGCCCUUCGGGGUGGAACGUGCACAGGUGCUGCAUGGCUGUCGUCAGCUCGUGCUGUGAAGUGUCGGGUUAAGUCCCUUAACGAGCGCAACCCUUGUCGCUAGUUGCCAGCGAGUCAUGUCGGGGACUCUAGCGAGACUGCCGGUGUCAAACCGGAGGAAGGUGGGGAUGACGUCAAGUCCUCAUGGCCUUUAUGCCCUGGGAUGCAAACGUGCUACAAUGGCGUGGACAAAGCGAUGCAAGGUCGCGAGGCGGAGCAAAUCGCAAAAACCACGCCCCAGUUCAGAUUGCAGUCUGCAACUCGACUGCAUGAAGAUGGAACCGCUAGUAAUCGCGGAUCAGCAUUGCCGCGGUGAUACGUUCCUGAGCCUUGUACACACCGCCCGUCAAGUCAUGGAAGCUGGGAGCGCCCGAAGUCGCUGCGAUUCAGCAGUGCCCACGGCGAGCUCGGUGACUGGG